GUUCAUUUUCAUUCCACUUCCUUACAUUGAAAUUUAAAUUGUUGAUCUGCAUUUUGUUUACCCAGUUGAAAAUCAAUUCAAUUUGGAAUGGUCGCACAACCCUGAUUUGAAGAAGAGCAAUGGAAGGAAGGUGUGGAAACUGAAACAGAGGGAGAGAGAGAGAGCUGCAGCCCAUAAAGCAGCUCUAAGCAGCAGGGCACCCCCGUCUGGUGGCUGCAGGAAAUGAUGUGGCGUGUGUUUGAGUCUGGGUUAUACAUUGGCAGAGGAGACAAUCAUAGAUAAAGUGGUGCCCAUUUUGAUGAUCUUGCCCAGGACCCCACCACAAAGACGUAGGAAGCAGAGUAAGAGUGGAAGGGAAGCAGUUUUCGGUGCUGCUGCUGACGUUGUGAAUCUGUGGAC
rnacentral:lncRNA from 1 species